rnacentral:rRNA from 1 species
UACGAAGGAUGCAAGCGUUAUCCGGAAUUAUUGGGUUUAAAGGGUGCGUAGGCGGACCUAUAAGUCAGUGGUGAAAGCCCCAAGCUCAACUUGGGAACUGCCAUUGAUACUGUUGGUCUUGAGUACAGUUGAGGUAGGCGGAAUGUGUCAUGUAGCGGCGAAAUGCUUAGAUAUGACACAGAACACCGAUUGCGAAGGCAGCUUGCUAAGCUGUAACUGACGCUGAUGCACGAAAGCGUGGGUAGCAAACAGG